rnacentral:misc_RNA from 1 species
UGGCCUCUCUGAAGAGGUUUCAGA